rnacentral:rRNA from 1 species
GUAGGUGGCAAGCGUUGUCCGGAAUUAUUGGGGCGUAAAGCGCGCGCAGGCGGUUCUUUAAGUCUGAUGUGAAAGCCCACGGGCUCAACCGUGGAGGGUCAUUGGAAACUGGAGAACUUGAGUACAGAAGAGGAAAGCGGAAUUCCACGUGUAGCGGUGAAAUGCGUAGAGAUGUGGAGGAACACCAGUGGCGAAGGCGGCUUCUGGUCUGUAACUGACGCUGAGGCGCGAAAGCGUGGGGAGCAAACAGGAUUAGAUACCCUGGUAGUCCACGCCGUAAACGAUGAGUGCUAAGUGUUAGGGGGUUUCCGCCCCUUAGUGCUGCAGCUAACGCAUUAAGCACUCCGCCUGGGGAGUACGGCCGCAAAGGCUG